rnacentral:rRNA from 1 species
UUAGAGUUUUGAUCCUGUAUCAGGAUGAACGCUGUCGGCGUGCCUAAUACAUGCAAGUCGAGCGAAUGGAUUAAGAGCUUGCUCUUAUGAAGUUAGCGGCGGACGGGUGAGUAACACGUGGGUAACCUGCCCAUAAGACUGGGAUAACUCCGGGAAACCGUGGCUAAUACCGGAUAACAUUUUGNACCUCAUGGUUCGAAAUUCAAAGGCGGCUUCGGCUGUCACUUAUGGAUGGACCCGCGUUGCAUUAGCUAGUUGGUGAGGUAACGGCUUACCAAGGCAACGAUUCGUAGCCGACUUGAGAGGGUGAUCGCCACACUGGGACUGAGACCCGGCCCAGACUCCUUCGGGAGGCAGCCGUAGGGAAUCUUCCGCAAUGGACGAAAGUCUGACGGAGCACCGCCGCGUGAGUGAUGAAGGCUUUCGGGUCGUAAAACUCUGUUGUUAGGGAAGAACAAGUGCUAGUUGAAUAAGCUGNCACCUUGACGGUACCUANCCAGAAAGCCNCGGCUAACUACGUGCCAGCAGCCGCGGUAAUACGUAGGUGGCAAGCGUUAUCCGGAAUUAUUGGGCGUAAAGCGCGCGCAGGUGGUUUCUUAAGUCUGAUGUGAAAUCCCACGGCUCAACCGUGGAGGGUCAUUGGAAACUGGGAGACUUGAGUGCAGAAGAGGAAAGUGGAAUUUCCAUGUGUAGCGGUGAAAUGCGUAGAGAUAUGGAGGAACACCAGUGGCGAAGGCGACNUUCUGGUCUGUAACUGACCACUGAGGCGCGAAAGCGUGGGAGCAA